rnacentral:rRNA from 1 species
UACGAAGGGGGCAAGCGUUGUCCGGAAUUACUGGGCGUAAAGGGCGCGCAGGCGGGUGGUCAAGUUAGAUGUGAAAGCCCCGGGCUCAACCUGGGAACAGCAUUUAAGACUGGUCAUCUUGAAUACGAGAGAGGGUUGUGGAAUUCCCAGUGUAGAGGUGAAAUUCGUAGAUAUUGGGAAGAACACCAGUGGCGAAGGCGGCAACCUGGCUCGAUAUUGACGCUGAGGCGCGAAAGCGUGGGGAGCAAACAGG